GUGCUGCCCAGGAGGGAGCAGCUCCUGCGAACAGCGCCUUGAGGUCACCUGGCCCGAGGGCUUCACGCCUCUGGCCUGCACUGCGACUUCUGUUGAGAGCCCAGGGUGUGUGCCUGCCCAGCCAGCUGGACUCGCUGUCCAGGUCAGCCUGCAGCAGAAUCGCCUCUUCCACGCCUGGGUCCCAGCGGGGAGGCGGAGGCGCUGAGAUUGUAGCAAGCCUCCGAGCGAGGGAAUUCAAUUGUGGAUACAAAUGUCAAGGCGCAGCUCUCCCUGCAGCACCAGCUCCCUGCUCACUGGGGCACGGUGUGACGCCCCAUUGCAGGCCCAGCCAGCCUAGUGUGGGCUGGUAAUGAUCGAGCCGGGGAGGGUGACCUUCCUGGGAGGCCUGGGAGGGCUCCGCCAGCUCCUGUGUGCCAGACAUAGGCACGCUGUGUAGCCCUGGUCCCUGCCGUGUGGCCGCGAUCUCCUGGGUCUACAAAGCCUGUAUCUUAAAGUAGUUCAGGACCCUGGCUGGGGAGCGUGUGCAGAGGCGGGAGAGGACAGGACUCCGCACGGCCAGCAGAGGGGCCAGCGUGGCGUGCGCGGCGAGGGGCCCAGGAGCACCAGCACAGACGGGAAAGUCAGUGUUUAGACAGCAAGGUCCAAAGCACCCUCCCGCCAGCCACGGGAGCGGGGAGCGCUGCAGUAAAUCGACACACGGCUCUCAUAAAGAAUGGAGAGCCCUGCCCAACGGAGAAAAAAAAUACCCAAAACAUAGCUGCAGCAAAGACGAUUUCCCCCCAGCUGAACUUAAUGCAGUGCGUAUGUUAUAUUGUGCCACAUCCAUCGCGUUUGCUUAAUGAGGUGUUCAUACGCUCAGAGACAGGGCAAGGGCUGAGAGGCAUCCUCGCGCCGUGCUGCCCAGAGCGGUAGUCACACACACAGCGAGUACUCAGAGCUGCAGCUGGCUGAACUGGGAAAUGAAAGGUCGGUUAUGAAUUAAUCUCCAGCACUGGGGAUGGAGGCCAGGGUCUCACACCUGCUGAGCCCAGCCCAUCUUAAAUUGUACUCCGAGACGGGGUCUCUCUGGGUUGCCCAGGCUGCCCUUGAACUUGGGAUCCUCCUGCCUCAGGCCCCUCAGUAGCUGUGGGUAAGGGGUGCGCCACCAUACUUUACUCAGUUUAUUUAAUUCUGAUUACUUCUAGUCUACUUUAAGAGCCGGCACUUUAUCCCAUUACUGGGAAGCUGUGAAGUCUGUCUGCAGCAGCUUUGCCGUUGUGUCUCUUGCAACCAGAUGCGCUUCUCCAGCUGUCCAUGAAAUCUCAACACAGAGCACAUGUGCCCCGUGCACCCAGGUGAAUGUGUGUUACAAGUGCAGAACCCAACCAGAUACCAAAGACGGUACAAAAAUAAUAAAAACUGGAGCCAGGCGUGGUGGCACAUGCCUGUACUCCCAGCCUGAACUGCAUAGCUAGAAUUUGUCUCAAAAAGACACACACAAAAAAAAAAGAAAAAUGAUAAUUCUACAUCUCAGUAAUUUGAUAAUAUUGGUUACAUGUGGAAGUAAUUAUUUAUUGAAAUAAUUAUAUAUUAAUAAUUAUUGAUUUAAAUAAAUGACAAAAAUGAACUGCAGCUGUUUCUUUUUACUUUUUAACACAGCUCCUAGAAAACCUUACAUCAUACACACACACACACACACACACACACAUACGUGCACAUACGUAGCACGGCUCCCUUGCACCUCACAGGAAGCUCAGAUCCGUGACCUCAGGGACCUGCACCGCCCUUAGGUUGGGGCAGAAGGGGCUGCCUCCCUUUCCUCAUUUUACUUUGUGCGUUUGAGGCUUCUUUGAUUUUGUUACCGAAGUCUGUGUUCCUUUCAUAACCUACAAAGAACAGCGAAGAGCUUUAGCUCAUUGCAGCAGGUGUUAAGGUCUCUGAUGCAUCUUGACCAGCAGGUGAGUGGGCGGAUCCUCCUCUAACUCCUCUCUUCUGCCCCACAGUGGGUCGGGCGCAGCAAGUGCUGUGCUGUCCGUGAUUAUGAGCCAGACCUGGGCUCCCCGGGAGGUACCAGCCUGACCCUCGUGGUUGUGGUUACUGCCGGCCUCAGGGGUCCCUGUCCUUACAGCCACCGCUGUGCAGGACAGGGGCUGGGUGUCAGCGAGCUGGAGUUCCACCCAGGAAAAGGGGAAAAGAAUAAACAACCCUGCGGACACCUCCCCUCCUCGCUCCAGCCCUCCUCCCAGGUAUCGAGACUCCCAAAGCUUCAGGACCGGUUUGGAGGUUCCAGGCUAAACUUUCUGUCUUCUAGCUGAUGGCCAGGAUGCUUCCGCUGCCCAAAGACACGUCUGCGGGACAUGGGGAGAUGCCUGUGCUGACACGAACACCGAGGCUGCAAGGAGCUCAUCUUCAAAGGAGCGCUGAUGCGCUGAAGUCACCGAGCCAGAAACACUUGCUCCUCCGCGUCUCCCUGAAAGGGGAGGAUGGGAGAGGGGGCGGGAGGCUGCACUCUGUAAGACCAGGCUUUUCAGAGAGGGAGCUCGGAGCUCGAGGCUUCUGCUGUUGGGGUGUUCGACUUCCCCUCUGACAUGAUUGACCCUCUGCUGGAUUACGAGCCUUCCAAGGAACUCACUGGAAGCUCGGAUCCGCGACCGCGGGAUGACGCUGGGACUUGAGCCGCAGCUCUCGUGAAGCUCUGGAAGGCAUGAACCCCACGCCCCCCACGCCCUGGACGGCCUUUCCACAGCCGCGUCGUCGGGUGGCAGGGCUGCGCUCUCUGAGCCCCAGGUCUCCUGUCCCCAAGGCAGCGACGUGUAAGCUGAGGCAGGGAGCACCGGAAGCAGCUUUUCUUUCUUCCCUUGGUGCUGGAGACUGAACUGUGGACUUCCUGGUGCUCAGCAGGGGGCCCAGGCCCAGCCUCAGUUUUUCCUCAGUUUAUGCCUAUUUGCGCGGACCGUCUCCUUCUGGAACAGAAAAUCCAGUGAACACAAUGGCGUUGAUGCUGCCGGAUGCCUCGUGCCAGCUUCCGGCCCGGCUCCGGAUCUACAGUGGCCCUGCACAAAGCGUUCUCGGCCUGGCAUCAAGAGCCGCAUCUCCCAAGGAUCUGCGUUAGGUCUGGAGAACUUGCCGCAGCCCGGACAGUGACCUGUGACUGUCCCUAUUCACACGGGGCUGGCAUGUGGGCAUGAGAGCCGCCUGGGGGCUACAGGUGCUUCAUCUGGGACAGGUGCCCGGGCUCAAGAGGGCCGAGGCCAAGCAGUUCCCUGAGGAUGAAGGAGAGACCUCGGGGUGCACGAGGAGGGGGCUCGACUUUGGUCGGUCUACCCAGCAGCAGAGUUCCGGUGGGCUCUUUGCACACGUGUGUCCCCGUCUAGAACAAGUGCUAGGUGAUCUUUCCCAGAGCAGCACCUUAUAAACUCUCCUGGACAGCCGGACACUCGGCCCCAGUGUCCCUGCUCACCACACUCGGGAGCUCAGGCGCCACGCGCACCCCUCCAGCCUCUUCCGGUGCCGCAGGGACUGUGCCUGCCCCCUGCUGGUGCAGGAGCGUGCCCCGGCCUUCAAGAUGCGCCAGGCAACAGGCAGUGGGAGAGAUCCUUUGCAAAAGGGAAUGGGAGCAGCAGAUGGGAGGAGAGGGGAAGGGGAUGUAAGAGCAGUAAGCUCGUUAGGGCGGCGCCAGCUCCCCGUGAUGGACGUGUGCAUGUGCGCUGCAGAAGUGGACUCCUGAGACAACGGAAGACGCUGUGCCCAGCAUCUCACAGCCCUCAUCACUGUCCCCACCUCAUCUAGGACGCUGCCAUUCACCUUGUGAAUGAAAGCGAAUCUGGAAGCAGAGGCUCUGAGAGUUCUGGGGUCCAGCCCAAGGUCAGGGCCAGGACUCAGCAGAGCUCGCUCAUGGUCAAUCCCACUAAGAUCAUAGACCCUGGAGGGUUCUUCCUUGUUUGCCACCUGACUUGGCCUUGGUUUCCCUGUCUGUAAAGGGGGUGAAUAACGCCCCACCUCAAACACUGUUGUGAGGUUAACUGCACGGAUCCGCCUGCAGCACCGCAGUCUCCUGUGUUUACCGUGGUCACGGUUAUUACCAGACUGCCUCCUAGGAGCACGAAGAGCAGGUGACCCAAGCAGACGCCACUUUCCUUGCUCCAAGAGAUUCCUCCUGGCCAAGAAACAAGCUACUCGGCCUUCAGCCUGCUCCUCACAGCCCUGGGCUUAUAGUAAGCAGCGGAGAGGAACCAGCCACUUCCAGGGCCGCAUCAAUCAGCUUCGGGUCCUUACAUUAAAAGAAGCGUGAGAGGGCAGUAAGGGAGGAUGGCUCUUUCCUGUCAGAGCCAGCCUGGGUUCCCAAGACAAAGCAUUCCGUGGUCACCUGGUGAGCACUGGAUUCGAAGUCCGCUGGCAGUGAUAUUUCGAACAUGGAAACUGCGCCACCAGACCCUACCGGCUGCGUUCUGCUGCUGGAAGCACAGCCAUCAGAUCUGAGCCAAUCUGAGAACCAUCAGCAGCUCAUCCUGAAGACUGCAAUCGUCCAAGCGCUCGGCAUCUGCAGGCGCCAAAGGUACCAGUGUGGCUGAUGGCGAUGUCGGGAGAGCCCUGGCACUGAUGGCUGCUCUUCACCUGUAAACUGGUCAUCCUUGCAGACUGAACAUGUGUCCCCCUAAAAUUCACACGCUGGAAACCUCACUCCCAGGGGGAUGGCGUCAGGGGGCCUUUAAGGGUGGACCCCUUGUGAGGCGACCGGUGCCCCAGAGGGCUCUUCCCCGAGGACCCCGCGUGAGACGCAGCAACACCCCAGCACACUGCAGCCCGGGAUGAGCCUGGCCACACUGCACCUGUUCUCAGACUCCUCCAAGCCGGGAGAAACCCAGGUCUGCCCUUUACAGGCCGCCGCAAGCCUGUGGGUUUUCUUAUAGCACCUCAAAGGCCAGAGACCACAGGGCUGUGAAGCAUGACAGCGUCUGUCAGGAGCUCACACAUGGCGAAAGAGCAACCCCAGCCAGCAGCCCACGUGGGUGCCCGUUCCUGCCCUGCAUGGGCCUCACUGUGCGCUACAGGGCCGUGUGCCCAGGUCUACAGCUCUGAGUCCUUGGCAAGAACUGCGGCUCUCCAGGCCUUAAGGAUGGACAGUGUGAGGGAGAAGGGGCUCUUCCCGGAAUCCCUGAGGCCUGACUUGGGGGCAAAACAAAAUGAAACCAAACAGAAAUCCUGACACACAGGACUGAUGUCCAAGAGCCGUGGUCCUGGCGUCCCCAGGAUACUUUUAAAGAUCUCUGUGAAGACCCUCCGUCUUUCGGGUGCGGGGCUUUCACUGUACCCAGUUUAUUAGCAUCCCUCAUCCCACGCGUUGGUAGAGGGCGCCGUUGAGCUCGUUAUUUUGCAGUGGGGAAACUGAGAUUCAGUGUCUCAGCGUUGUAGUAACAGAUCCCUGAUUACCGUCUGAGCCCGGAGAACCUCAGAAGGUCUACGAGAAGAUCGCUGCUGUCUGUCUCACAGCAGCAGGUCACCUCUGGAGGACGGCUCUAUCCACAGACUCAUCCGGUCACUGUCACUGGAGACCACGCAUCCUCACGAGUGAGGCUUCUGCCGCCUCGGGAAAUGAGGAUCUGGCUUGGUGUGUGGGGUCCUGGCCUUGGAAAAGCUCAAACCAUGUGGCGGAUUCGGGGUGAGCAGAGGACGGUCGCACUGAAUUACUGAAGGCCUCUGCUGGUCCACUGAGUGAUGGAUCCGGGGAACCGUGUUGGAAUAAACCCUAGCGAUUUUGCGGAGUUUAUUCCACCUCUUCUCCCAGGGUGCCGCGGGCUUCCCCUCCCCACGAGGGUGCUCGGGAUGGGAGCACGGUCAGUCCUCUUCCUCCUGUGCCACGUCGGCAGGUCCCUGAGCCGAACAGAACAAGCCUGGCCAUGUUGGCUGUUCCCACUCCUCCUCCGUGCUGCUGGCCAUCCAUUACCUGCUCUACAGGGCUGCCGGUGGGUGCUCACGCUCACGUCGGCUUGUCUGAGCCUGGGGUGGACGGACAAUGGCUGCCCGCAGACGGGACGGUCACAGGCGUCCUGCGCUGUGUCCCGAAUUCUCCAGUGACGGCUGAGAAUGCCCUGGCCUCUUGGCUCUGCUUUACUGUGAGCACAGUUAGGAGCCAGAACAGCUGCGGAUGCAGCCGGCAGCGAGACUCAGAACUGCUUGGUUCUAGGCUCAAGAAAAGCGAGAUAAAAAUUUUUAAAACUUUUAAAUGCAGUGGCCAGUUACAGUUUAUAUUAUUACAUUUUUCGAACAGGCAAUUAAUUAAAACACUGAGUAGUAACUAGAGGAAUAUGCUCAGUCAGAAACAGAGGCUUUGGGAGGCAGUUUUUGAGCUUACUGCUUUUAAACUUAAGCUCGGGAGCUUUUUAACUUUCCCCUUAUUUUUGAAGUUGCAGAUCAAGGUUUCUCUACAUUCGGGUCAGCAGCGCUGGUCCCGCUGAGCAGGUGCUGUUAGGAACAACACAGGCCCUGACCCAGCCGUGUCGGGUGUUGAGGCUGUGAUGCGGAGGAGGCACGGCCAGGCCCCUGGACCUCAGGGACUGGAAUGUCCCUGCGUCCUCGCACCUGGACUGUCCACUCCUGCUCCUCACCAGGACUCCAGCCUGGGGUCCUCUCCUGUUCUCCUGGUGAUGCCACAGGCUCGUGCUGCCAGCCUCUCCCAUCGCCGUGUUGGGCUUUUCAGCUCCCUUUGCCCCCAGCCCUUCCCUUGGCACUGGCCGUUGGGUGGCUGUCGGGAGUGAGACAAGGAGAAGCAGCUCCCGUUGCCGCUGCCCUGGGCUCAGGCGCCAGGGCUUGGUGUGUUCCAUCCUACCAGAUUUAACCCAGUCCAUCCUUACCACUGAGGCAUUGGUUUAAUUGCUAGCAACACAGGGAAAUGUGCUGUGUCUACACUCGUAGGGAGCAGAUUAGGUGAACUGUGGUACACACAGGCCCUGGGAGCCUGGGCCGCCUUUGAAAAGAAGAGCUCUGAAAGUGAGGGUCUCGAAUGCACUAAGUGAGACCAAGAAAGAAAUAAAACAAGUUGCAGAGCUGUGCAUGUGGUGUGAUCUCAUUCAGAGAUACUUACGUCUGCGUAAGUGUACACACACACCCGUGUCCGUGUGUUGCAUCUGAAAGGGAAAAGUUAGAGAAAGUAACCGUGAGUUUCGGAGGAGCCGUACAGCGAAUGCCACCCUGAUUUUAAGCUAUCACUUGCUUUUACAACAGUAGGUAAUCAGUUAGCAAUGAAGGAUGAAUAGAUACAUAAAUAGGAGAAACGUGGCAUUUUGGGACUGCAGAUCCAGAACUGUACAGCUCCUGAGUUUUCUGUUUUGUGGGUGCCAUACUCCCUGUUCACAGCUUCCGAGCAGUAAGGCCCCAGGCUGACAGGUGUGUUCCCGUCCAGCUCCACAGCCUCGGGGAUAAGGGGCGUUGCCCAGUUAUGAGUCAUCUGCUGCCUCCGUAGUACACACAGUGGUUUAAAGGUCUCGGGAGAGGCCCCAGCUCGCAGCCUUGGCUCUGCCCCCAGCUCUGCUCGGCCUUUGUGCCGUUCAUCCUCCUUCAUUCCCAGAGUCCUGGUCACAGGAGAGAGACCCACUUGCUGAGAGGAAGCCAGAGAGACAGCAUCUAAAUCUCACAGACUGGGAAACGGCUGGAGGUGCCCCGGCAGGUGAACACUGAAGCAGACCAGCAGCCAGGAAAUCAAGCGUCCGCAGUCACUGCUCUGCGCUGGCUGCACGGCUGGCGGGCGGCUGCUCUGCUCUCCUGCUCCGCACUGAAGUUUCGAGACGCCUUCCAAGGCGUUCAGAAGCCGUCCCUGCAUCCUGCGCAGGCUUGCUCUUCAAGCUCCGCUCUUGCUACAUCCUGAAUACCUCUCCAAACAGGGUCAAAAGAGUCACCGAAGUACCAGUCCCCCAGAGGAGGGACCAGCAUCGCGACCGGGCAAGCCACACGAUUAAGGAGCACUCAGAAGGCAGAUGAAAGUUGCUUGAAAGGCUUCAAAGUGGAAGGCGAGCCUAAUCCCCCAAAGCUUCCUUUCAGUCCUUACUCCUUCAUUUCAGAAAAUGCCCCCGGGCUUUUACAAAGCCCAAGUAUCACUUUACAGCUUGGAAGUCAUCCUAAGAGCGCUCCCGGUCUCAGAGCAUUCUCCAUUCCUUCAAGGACUUCGCGAGGCUGGGUCCCCUUUGCAAGGAGCUGGCGCUAGAGGACAGUGGCCCUGCUGUCCUGGGUGCGGGCCCAGGGCUCAAGGGUAAUGAGCACCUGGGGAUUCCCUCCAAGCAGCAGUCAGGCCUUCUCCCCGUGAUUUCUGGGCGAGACUCAUGGGUCUGUCACCACAUGGAAGAACGCCCAGUCCUGCUACUAAGCAACCCGGGAGGGGAGAAGGAAUCCACAUGAGGAAAACAAGGCCGCUGGGCACGGUGAGGGGCCGCUUCCCGCUGCUCCGAGAGCAGUGCUUGCGCCUCCGUCGGCCCCAAGAGAGCAACUCUCUCCCGAAUCUUCCACUGCCCAGGGAAAUGUUCAGCGUAACCCACAGCCUGGUCAGCACCAGGAAGGUUGGAGGCCGGCGGUGUGCCCAGAUCUAUGCCCCAGGCCCUACACAUAGCAUCGGGGCAGAGGCUCUUUUGGGUUAGCUCUUCUUCACAGCUGAGAGUGGGGUGGAGAUGGGCUCCUGAAGGGUCUCCACUGCUUGGCCUUUGACCGGGGCCCAAACCCAGGUCUGUCCCUGAAACCUGUGCCGAACACCCUGGGAAACAGCCCAGCUGGACGCGGGGCUGCCCAUCGGUGGCGGGACACCGUGGUCAUCGGCAGUGGCUCUGGCGCCCUGGCCUCGAGAUCGCAUCUGUUGCCGCCUCUGUUCUGCUUCCCUCCUCUCUCUGCAGCUCAACCCCAGCCUCCAGCGGGCCACACGAAUGGGUGUCUCCCGGGUCCCCCGAGUUGGAGGGGAGGUGACAAGAGUCCCUGUCUGCCUCCCUCCCGGGAUGGGAUGCAGGCCAGCAGGGACCACGGCCCCGAGGCAAUCACAGGGACCCUGCCCCCAGGCCUCUCCUUUAGAGAGGAGAUAAAAAUAGUGAAGAAACAACACUUCCCUCCUUCCCUGAAAGGCUGGCAGCCUUCCAGGAUGGACUUAUGUACUUUUUGUACUUGGAGGAAAAAAAGCGAUGGGAUUUGGUCCAAGAACGGCCCUGCGAGCGGGAGAAAUAUGGAGCCGGCAGCUGGAGCGAGGCGGCCAAGUGGUACCGCCAGCUGCAGGCCCAUUAAUUAGCGGGCCUGGUAUGCAGCGGUUCCCGUGACCCUGAUUCUUGUUGAAUUCGCAGAGAUAAUUUUCACAGACCUGACUUUUCUCCCUGCCGUAUAUUUAUCCAAGAGGUACCUUGCCUGUUCCCCUCAACUCUCCGGGCAGUAAAUUUAUUCUAAUUGCAAAGAGAUAGAGUAAAAGCCUGAUUGAACGCUC